rnacentral:rRNA from 3 species
ACCUCGGAUCAGGUAGGAAUACCCGCUGAACUUAAGCAUAUCAAUAAGCGGAGGAAAAGAAACCAACAGGGAUUGCCCUAGUAACGGCGAGUGAAGCGGCAACAGCUCAAAUUUGAAAUCUGGCCUUCGGGUCCGAGUUGUAAUUUGUAGAGGAUGCUUUUGGUGAGGUACCUUCCGAGUUCCCUGGAACGGGACGCCAUAGAGGGUGAGAGCCCCGUCUGGUUGGAUACCGAUCCUCUGUAAAGCUCCUUCGACGAGUCGAGUAGUUUGGGAAUGCUGCUCUAAAUGGGAGGUAUAUGUCUUCUAAAGCUAAAUAUUGGCCAGAGACCGAUAGCGCACAAGUAGAGUGAUCGAAAGAUGAAAAGCACUUUGAAAAGAGAGUUAAAAAGUACGUGAAAUUGUUGAAAGGGAAGCGCUCAUGACCAGACUUGGGCUUGGUUGAUCAUCCAGGGUUCUCCCUGGUGCACUCUUCCAGCCCAGGCCAGCAUCAGUUCGCUGUGGGGGAUAAAGGCUUCGGGAAUGUGGCUCCUCCGGGAGUGUUAUAGCCCGCUGCGUAAUACCCUGUGGUGGA